CUUUAUAAAGAAGCAAGAAUUUGACACUGACUACACCCAGAGAUCCACAUCAUUCAUUGAUCUGGCUUUGGUCAACUCUGAUCUCUUUGUCAGUCUUUUUGGGGCUCUAACAGUCACUCUAUUGAAAGGAUGAAGUGCCUUGCAAUUUUUCUGGGAGUGGCCCUGGUCAUUUUCCUGGCUGAACCCGGAGAGGGUAGAUUUCGAUUUCGAUUUCGGCCAAGAUUUCCUUCACGCGGGACCUGGGGCAGGAUUGGGAGUGGAGCCGCAAGGAUUGGGUCUAACGUGGCAGCUGACCUCACAUCAGGUCUCAUCCUGAACAAAAUACAACAGAAUCAGCAACAGCAACAACCACCUUAUGGCUAUGUUCAAGAGUAGGGACUGAGAACUCUGAUAUACAGUUUAAGCUGUAUUUAAUAUGUUGAUGAAUAAAAUUCACAUCUAAAGCAUAAAGAACUGCUCUUUA